rfam:Ailuropoda melanoleuca scaffold1267_21, whole genome shotgun sequence.
ACCUGGCUGGCUCAGUCAGUGGAACAUGAGACUCUUGAUCUCAGGGUUGUGAGUUCAAGCCCCACGUUGGGUG